rnacentral:rRNA from 1 species
AUGGCGACGGCGGCCAAGGAUGCGGCGUCUGCGGCGGAGAAGAAGGGGACGGCGGCGGGGCUGCAGAUGAAGCUGCUGGUGGACAGGCGGUCGCGCCGGGUGCUGUACGCGGAGGCGCGCAAGGACGCCGUCGACUUCCUCAUCGGCCUCCUCCGCGUGCCCGCCGGCCUCGCCGCGCGCGUCAUCGGCAAGCACGCCGCUGGCGCUGGAGAUGGCGCCGGUGACGUUCACCCCGACGAGGCGCACCCCGCGCCGGGCUCCCUGGGCACGCUCUACGCCGGGGCGAAGGCGCUGGGCGACGAGUUCUUCGUCGCCGCCGCGCCCGACCGCGACGCGAUCCUCUGCCCGGCGAUCCCCUCGGCCGCGCUCGCGCUGCUGCUCGCGGGCGAGCCGGCCGCCGCGGCGGCGGCCACCCCGCCGCCCGCCGCGCCCGCCCCGCCGAAGCGGUACUUCCGGUGCGCGGGCCCGUACGGGACGUCGUGCCGCGGGAACCCGACGUGCGUGACGGACGUGGCCGGCCUGCCGUGCCCGGUGUGCCGGCAGCCGAUGACGGUGGAGAUGCGGUGGAGCCCCGGCGACGCGCAGGGCAAGCUGGCGCAGGCGGCGUCUGCAGGAGCAGGAGGGUACGUGAAGGAGGUGGUGAGCUACCUGGUGAUGGACGACCUCACGGUGGAGCCCAUGUCCACCAUCUCCGCCAUCAUGCUGCUCAAGAAGUUCAAGGUCGCCGACUGCUCCGCCCUGGAGGAGCUCACCGUCGACCUCGGCCACAAGGAGGCCGUGCUGCUGCUCAAGGCCGCGCUCGAGUCCAAAACGGCGCUCACCGACGUCUUCUGCGGCGGCGUCUCCAUUGACAGGCUCGAGUGA